rnacentral:rRNA from 1 species
CCCAGACUCCUACGGGAGGCAGCAGUGGGGAAUAUUGCACAAUGGGGGAAACCCUGAUGCAGCGACGCCGCGUGAGUGAAGAAGUAUUUCGGUAUGUAAAGCUCUAUCAGCAGGGAAGAAAAUGACGGUACCUGAUUAAGAAGCCCCGGCUAACUACGUGCCAGCAGCCGCGGUAAUACGUAGGGGGCAAGCGUUAUCCGGAUUUACUGGGUGUAAAGGGAGCGUAGACGGUGAUGCAAGUCAGAAGUGAAAGCCCGGGGCUCAACUCCGGGACUGCUUUUGAAACUGUGUAACUGGAGUGCAGGAGAGGUAAGCGGAAUUCCUGGUGUAGCGGUGAAAUGCGUAGAUAUCAGGAGGAACACCAGUGGCGAAGGCGGCUUACUGGACUGUAACUGACGUUGAGGCUCGAAAGCGUGGGGAGCAAACAGGAUUAGAUACCCUCGUACG